rnacentral:lncRNA from 1 species
UAAAUUUUAGGGAAUGAUGAUAGCUUAACUGAAUCAGUAGAUACUCAAAUGGCAAUAAUUUCCACAAUCAAUGAGCAAAAAUUAUUUGAGUUUAAUUCCAACAAUAUAAAUGAAGACGAAGAUUCAGGCAAUUCCCAAGAUGUAGUGGCAUUUAAAAGAGAUGAAGUCUCAAAUGCGCAAAUUUCAA